UCUGAAAGGUGUUUAAGGGCUUAGGAAU
rnacentral:piRNA from 1 species